CCUUGCGUCGAUCUCGCCAGGCGAGGUAAGAAUCGCGUUGGAAAAAUCGCAGCUUGUCGAUUUUUUUCCAAUGUGGGGUAAGAUUGAGUCUAUGGCGCGGUACUUGUAUUCCUCAACACGGGAUAACUUGGCGAUUUAGGCAAGCUUCUCCCAGAUCCAAGAUAUUCGAUCUAAAACCACGCAAAACGUAGAUUAAGGAUUGUUUCUACAAGGUUUUGGUCCCUCCUCCUGCCACCAGUACCGUCAUCUUUUCAGAGAUGAAAACCGUGCGUGGACAAGACCUCUUGAAUGUUUCUGCAUGAAUCGCAUCAUGGACAAUCUGUGAAGGAAGCCCGUUCUUCGCGAUAUAGAAAGCCAUGGCCUUUUAGCACUGGCGGAAAGCCCCCCUCUAGAAAUUUCUCUGAGCAGCAUCACAAAAAUAUCCUCCGACAAGAUAAAUAUUUCAGGGCCUUACAGUGAAGAAUUCGGACAAGCGUCGUGGCUUAAAAUUUGGGACGUUAAAUGCUCGGAUCCAACACAUUGCUCGGACUAGCAGCUUUAAAGCAUCAAACAUUGACAUUUUCCAGACUGUCGACUUUAAUGGACCUUGCUUUCGGGCUUGUCGAACUGUAACAUCUGCUCUGGAGAAGAAGAACAAGAAAAGGACCCGAGGAGGCUGAAAGCGCAAGCAUCUCGUCUUCUUACCCAGCUAAAAGAAUCGGCUCCAGAUUCAAGAGUGCUGAAUCCAGACAGCUGUAUGCAACUGACGGCCGGCGUCACAUUGAUACGAAGUCUAUUCCCAAUCCGACCAGGUACGGAAGACUUCUCAGCGAAAUAAUGCGUGGUCUGUACGAGGCCGGUCAAAUGAGCUUUGGUGCUAAACUCGUUUGGCGAUGGACGGACCACGCCGCAUGUCAACGACGAACUUUGUUCCUUCCCAUGAACGUGUUCUUCGCUCAGCUAUCGUCACA